GAGCUGGAGUGUGAGGAACGGAGCACUCCAAAGAAGUGGGUUUGUACUGGGUGGUUAUAUACCCCCAAAGAGGAUGUUUCACAUAUGAUUGAAAUGUCCCUUUUACAAUAGUCACAAGAUUGCCCUGUUGGCACAGCGAUUGAUGGACACAGCAGGUAGUGGGUCUGCUGUCUUGGUGGACAGAGCAGGAAGCAAGUCUGUUGUCUCGAUCUCGGUGGUCACAGCCAGGAAGACCGUCCCUGUAAGGGUGAUGUCGGAGUGGUGGAGGAAGAGAGGGAAGGAUGAUGUGAGAAGCUCGUGUUAUUAAACACCCACAAAGGAGCAGGAACUCUAAACCAGCCCCCUCUGCACCGCAACCGUAGCACCUACUUUAUAGAAGAAACUGAGGCCUGGAGAAGCAAAUUGCCUGUGAUCACGCAGUGUUAUCCCGAGAGUGCCCUGGAGUGCUAUCGGUCACACAGCGUCCUCUAAUACAGAAGAAGUGGCUGUCUGAGGACCAUCCUGCAGGGCAAGUCCCUCCCUGAGCUACAGUCUCCUCACUUGCGACAACGACAACAGCAGCAGCAACUACAGCAACUGUGAGCAGACCCACGGUGCCUGAAAACCCAUGGCUCCACCCAGGCCUGCCUCUGCCUGGUCUCCCUCCAUCUGCCCUGUGUUGCUGGGAGUGAGCUGGUCCAUUUGGCUGGAGCAAGGCGAUGAAGAGAAGGGCCCUGUCAAGGAAAUGGGGGCAGCCAUCCUCUCCUGCCCAGCCACGUGCUCUUGAGAAAGGUGACGGUGGGAGCAAGAGGGAGAAUGGGCCUGGCUCUCUCUGUCUUGCACAGAAGACCACAGGGCAGAAUGAAGUCACAGAGCACUCAGGAAUGGAAUUAAGCUGAUCCAGGCUGUGCUUUUUUCUGGGCUUCAUCUUUCUGUCAAUAAACUGGGCAUUAUAAUCUCUAUAAUUCCUUCAAAUACCAGAAUAAAAACAAAACAAAAAACAUACUGUACGAAA
rnacentral:lncRNA from 1 species